CGAGGGGAGGAGGGUGAGGGGAGCGCAGGGCUUCCGACAGUAGCCCCGGUGACCUUCGUGGACCGAGGUGGCCGCCCUGUCGGCGUGCCCGGCCCUGUGGUUCUGGUGAUGGGCGACACAGCGGGUCGCACGAGCUCCCGGCAGCAGCAGCUUCCCUUUGCCGCCGAAAACAGGCAGCGGCGGGUAAUAACCCCGGGGGGAGGUAAUUGGAGCCGGCGUUACGUCACGGGGACCCGACGCAGCUUGCGUCGGACCGGACCCGCUGCUGCUUAGAGUGACUGGCUGCCGGCUGCUUGAGGUAGCACGGAGGCUGACGGGACACGCCGUGGCGCCUCAUACCGGAGCAACGCAAACUACUUUGACACCUUCUUCGCCAAGUUUAGAAGGCAGUGCCUGCCUGUUUGCUGCGGGGCUUCUUUCUGCGAGUGGGGGUGAACAAGCCGGGUGGACGUCUACACAUCGCCGCCCGCGCCGAUCCAAAGAACACUGCUUCCUGCUGCCUUUAAGCUCGUCCUUCACUGCGCCCCUUGCCGCUGUUGAACAACACAAAGUACAGGGUUCUGUACUUUGUGAUGUUGUUCCCUUCCUUCAACUCCACCAGCCGGAAGACAAAAAUUAAGUUUUUAUCCAUCUACACCAUACCGAUGUCUAUUUGCGUGCUGAAGUAAGCCGGAAAUGAUGUUAUACAAUGGCCUGCAAUGGACGUACAAGACAGCCUCAAAUCGAAAAUUAGUGGAGGAAGUACCCCCCAAAACAGUGUCAUCUGGACCAAAUUGCGUUUUGGAUACGGGUAUGAGCAGGCUUAUUGGCUCGUCCUUAGGUCCAAGAAAAUGCCUCCGCCGGCAGGGCAACAGGCCCGGUGUCUGCGAAGUGCCAAACGGAGACCGUCCAGUCUCUCAAACGGUUGGAGAGAGAGCAAAUGGACAAAAUUUGGUUGCAAAACUAGUUUAUUGUUGUUUUUUUUCAUAUUUUCUUGCCUAACGUUUUUCUUUUUAAACUCCUAUUCCCUUCGUAGUGAUUUCCAGGGUGUAGACCUUUUAGUUAUGGUAGCAACUUCAACGAUACCCUGAAAAUUUCAAGUCUCUAGCUAACCUGCUUCUAGAAGAAUAAGGCUCUACAGAAAACACUGUUACAAAAUUUAUAGAGCUUUCAAGAAAUUUUCUUGCUUAAUUUGUGUAAUAGCAUUAAUUGAUUUCAAUCGAAUACAAAACACCGUUUCGUACGAAUUGCUUCGUAGAAUCCAAGGUCGUUGUUGUGGUGAAAAAUCGCGCGAUUGUAAAAAUUGAUGAGGAGUAUUUUAAUUGAUGCCGAAUCGGGCCUGUAAGGAAUAAGUGUCCAAUAACGCGCUUCCCUUCACCAUCGUUUAUCCUGCUUGUAACUACUUAACCACUUCAAACUUGAAAACAAAGUCCCUAUUGUUGACUUUUCCAAAUAUGAAUAAGAGUGAAUCUUUGAGAAAUCCCAACAAAUUUUUAACAUUGUAGUGGUGAUGAUAAUACUCCUUUUGAUGCGAUUUGUCGGUAAUCUUAACCAUCAAAUGCUUGCCUUCAAGCCCUUUUUUUCUGUUCCUUCCAGAAAACUGACUGUGGGCUAAGGGAAAUGAUUGAUGAUGAGGGUCCUCACCUGCGUCUCCUCGGCUCUCCCGGCACAACGACGGCACUUAAAGCAGCCUCAUCACUGGCCGUGACACCAGUAGUCCUCCGGGUAAAAUCAAAGGUUCACCCGGCUUGGCUCGACUCGGCCCGGCUCGACUCGGCGCUGGGCCCGGUGGAGCACGCGGGUGGUGCGGAGGCUGGCGGUCGACUGAGGGGCGCGGCGCGCGGCCGCCCCCUCGCCCCAUCACUUUCUCGCCCCGGCAGCCACGCCCCCCGCCGGACCUGCCCCAAGCAAAUACGCUCACUUUAACAGUGUCAAGGAACAUAUUUUUCUCCGAUUUUCUAGGAGGCCCAACAAAAUCCCUUAAACACUAUCCACUGUGAAAAAUAUAUUUGUACUUGUACGAUCCAUUUUGUGAUCUGCCCUUUACAGAACGAGUCGUACAUGCGUUGCUCGUUAUUCGAUUCCAAGUCGAUACGCAUAGCUUGUUAAUUUUACAAUUUUGUAUUGUAAUUGUACAACAACUUCCGCUGAAAAUUUUCCUGCACCCGGUACGACAAUGUUUCACAUUGUCCUCUCACAGUAAAAAAUCAGACAUUUCGCAAAACAUUAUCCAAUAGUCCCCAAAGCUGAUUCAUAAUAAUUGUCCUUUUGUUUUUCGACUCGUUUCGGAUCCGAUGACGAAUGCGGAAGUAAAAGUGCUAAAAAUUUUACCCAAAUAUUUGCAAAAUCAUCAUUGUUGCAAAACCUCGUAUUUUGACCUUCAAUUAAUGGAAAGUGAUACUGGUUUGGAAACCUUCCGCGUUGUCAUUCCCUUCGGGUGAAAUGAAUUCCUGUAUUACACAACAAUUGUCUCUACAUUAAAUGGAGUGCGAGACUUAGGUGCAACUAACUUUUAUAAUCGUUUAAGAUGUUUUGCUUGUAUGUGUGAUAGAAAGCAAAUCUCAUGUAUUACUGGAACAUCAUACAUGUAAGACCUUGCGGGAUCCUAAACAAUACAGGUUUUAAGAUUGUUUUAGAUACUUGGGGAUAUGCCCAUUAAACUAAGUCGAUGUGGUCUGUGGAAGGUGGCCUUCCCUUUCACGUCGCUACCCCCCGCUCACUGUCACUGCCGCACUCACAGCCGCGGGGUAUAUGUCGCACAUGUUUGUGGAUUCGACGAAACAACAGAAACAUUUUGUAUUUAUUUUAAUAAAGCUGUAAUCUCAUUGUACAACAAAUAUGAUACAAUAAAUCGUUUGACUAAUAAUAAUAAUAACUAUUGGAAACACAUACGACAUACGACUUGUCCACCGUCACUAGGAAGGAUUAAAAAACUUUCACA